rnacentral:rRNA from 1 species
GACGAACGCUGGCGGCGUGCUUAACACAUGCAAGUCGAACGGAAAGGCCCUGCUUUUGUGGGGUGCUCGAGUGGCGAACGGGUGAGUAACACGUGAGUAACCUGCCCUUGACUUUGGGAUAACUUCAGGAAACUGGGGCUAAUACCGGAUAGGAGCUCCUGCUGCAUGGUGGGGGCUGGAAAGUUUCGGCGGUUGGGGAUGGACUCGCGGCUUAUCAGCUUGUUGGUGGGGUAGUGGCUUACCAAGGCUUUGACGGGUAGCCGGCCUGAGAGGGUGACCGGCCACAUUGGGACUGAGAUACGGCCCAGACUCCCACGGGAGGCAGCAGUGGGGAAUAUUGCACAAUGGGCGGAAGCCUGAUGCAGCAACGCCGCGUGCGGGAUGACGGCCUUCGGGUUGUAAACCGCUUUCGCCUGUGACGAAGCGUGAGUGACGGUAAUGGGUAAAGAAGCACCGGCUAACUACGUG